GGCAAAGGAGGAGGUGAACGGAUUUGCUCCAAGACCGGGACAUCGUUGAGAUAGUCGUGAUGGGGGGUUGUGGUUGAAGAAUCAUGCGUUAGGUUGACCGACAGAUCGUGGAGUAGGUCAACUGGGGAAUCGUUGGUUGGGUGGACCAAGGACUCGCAGGUUGGUCACCAAGUUGUUUGGUAUUUUCCUGAUCAUUAGUGAUAAAAUGUAAUUAGAGGGCAUGAUAAAAAUAUAAUUAUAUGCCAACUAUAAUAUCACUUGUGCCUAAGGAUGGCAAAAAUCCCCAUAGGGGCGGGUCCCCAUCGGGUCCUCGACCCUAACGGGAGGAGAUUUCGGGACUAAAUGGAUAUCGGGUACGGGAUCCCCGAACUUGAAAAAUCCCCGACCGGUAUGGGGAGGGGAUGGUAUUGGCGUCCCCAUCCCCGAACCCGACCCGAAAAUAUAUAUGUUUAUAUUUAAAUAAAUAAAUAUAUAAUUAUAAUAUUUAUGUUUAACCAUAAGUUAAC
rnacentral:lncRNA from 1 species